GGAUUUCUCCCAGUCUCCUACCUGCAGCUGCUUCCAUAGUUGGAUCAGUGACCCAGUGCUCAGGGGAGAAGUAUGUGUGUUCCUCCUGCCCCCAUUCCUGGGCCCCAACUUUCUCUGGAGACUGCUGCGGUCCCAGCUUCUGCUCUGGGCAGACAAAGUAUCUUGUUCCUAGACCACCCCCAGCCCUCGCUGCCUCUGAACCUAGCGUCCAAGAACCACCUGCAACAGAAAGUG